rnacentral:rRNA from 1 species
AGAGUUUGAUCCUGGCUCAGAUUGAACGCUGGCGGCGUGCCUAACACAUGCAAGUCGAACGAGAAAGUUCCGUCCCCGGAGUGAGUCGGUGGCGCAGGGUGAGAUACGCCUGGUAUCUGCCCAUACCUAGGAAUACCCUUUCUAAUGGAAUGUUAAUUCCUCAUAAUGUUAUUUUCUCUUCUCAGGGCAUACCCUAACGGAACCUCUGUCUCCCGAUGCCCCUGAUAGAUGAGUCCCCGCCCCAUUAGCUAAUUGGUGGGGUAAAAGCCUACCAGAGCAACGAUGGGUAGCUGACCUGAGACGAUGAUCAACUCCUCUGGAACUGACAUACGGUCCAUAACUCCUACUGGAGGCAAGCCUGAUCAAUCUUGGCCAAUGGGGGAAACCCUGACUGCGCAACGCCAUGUGAUUGAUGAGGGUCUUCAGGUCGUAUUGCUCUGUUUGAAGGGACGAAACGUAUUUGAUUAAUACUCAAAUAAUUUUGACGGUACCUUCAGAGGAAGCACCGGCUAACUCCGUGAGCGCAGCCGCGAAUAUACUGGACGGUGCAAGCGUUGUUCCGAAUCACUGAGCCAGCCGGGCGUGCCCGUGGCUCAUUCUGUCAAGUGUGAAAUCCUUCCGCUUAACUCGAGAAGUGCACUUGAAACUGCUUAGCUAGAGUACGGGAGAGGAAGCGUGGAAUUCCUGGAAGAACAGCUGAAGUUCAUAGCAUAUCGUCUAAGAACACAGUGGCGCAGACGGCCUUAUCGUCCGAUACUGACGCUGAUA